rnacentral:tRNA from 1 species
UACUAUUUGAGGGUUCAUUGGGCUGUUACCCCAUUUAACCACCCUCAUGAGAGUG